CCUACGUGUGGCAGCAGUGGGGAAUAUUGCACAAUGGGGGAAACCCUGAUGCAGCGACGCAGCGUGAGUGAAGACGUAAUUCGUUAUGUAAAGCUCUAUCAGCAGGGGAGAAAAUGACGGUACCUGAGUAAGAAGCCCCGGCUAACUACGUGCCAGCAGCCGCGGUAAUACGUAGGGGGCAGGCGUUAUCCGGAUUUACUGGGUGUAAAGGGAGCGUAGACGGCAGUGCAAGUCUGGAGUGAAAGGCGGGGGCUCAACCCCCGGACUGCUAUGGAUACUGUACGACUUGAGUGCAGGAGAGGUAAGUGGAAUUCGUAGUGUAGCGGGGAAAUGCGUAGAUAUUAGGAGGAACACCAGUGGCGAAGGCGGCUUACUGAACUGUAACUGACGUUGAGGCUCGAAAGCGUGGGGAGCAAACAGGAUUAGAUACCCGAGUAGUC
rnacentral:rRNA from 1 species